rnacentral:lncRNA from 1 species
CCUAGUGUUAACAGUGGGUUACUUGCCAAUAAUUUUUAUACCCCUUCCAAAUUUAUUUCUCCAUGUUUAAUGCCUCAAAUUGUAAGUAGGGGGGUGAAAUUACACUGUAAAAAAAUUUGGGUCCAGAAUUUUACAGGAAAGUAGUGAUUCGGUCCAGCUGAAAAAGGUUAAAAAUUAGCACUUCGGAAGCUGUCAAAAGAUUUCAAGACACCCUAAACACAAAAUUGUCCAUAUUUUGAGUUUGAGGCGAUGAAGUUUUCUAUAAUUUUGAUAUAAUUUGUCCCAAAAGUAGUACAACACACUGUAAACAUUUCAUUGAGAAAGCGCAGGUGGGAUUUUUUUAAUUUUCAUUUAUGUUCUAAAAGAAAUGCACUACGAAUUAAUUGUGUUCUCGGACCAUCU